GGGCGUAAAGGGCUCGCAGGCGGUUUCUUAAGUCUGAUGUGAAAGCCCCCGGCUCAACCGGGGAGGGUCAUUGGAAACUGGGAAACUUGAGUGCAGAAGAGGAGAGUGGAAUUCCACGUGUAGCGGUGAAAUGCGUAGAGAUGUGGAGGAACACCAGUGGCGAAGGCGACUCUCUGGUCUGUAACUGACGCUGAGGAGCGAAAGCGUGGGGAGCGAACAGGAUUAGAUACCCUGGUAGUCCACGCCGUAAACGAUGAGUGCUAAGUGUUAGGCGGUUUCCGCCGCUUAGUGCUGCACCUAACGCAUUACGCACUCCGCCUGGGG
rnacentral:rRNA from 1 species